rnacentral:rRNA from 1 species
AGUCGAGCGGUAGAGAGAAGCUUGCUUCUCUUGAGAGCGGCGGACGGGUGAGUAAUGCCUAGGAAUCUGCCUGGUAGUGGGGGAUAACGCUCGGAAACGGACGCUAAUACCGCAUACGUCCUACGGGAGAAAGCAGGGGACCUUCGGGCCUUGCGCUAUCAGAUGAGCCUAGGUCGGAUUAGCUAGUUGGUGAGGUAAUGGCUCACCAAGGCGACGAUCCGUAACUGGUCUGAGAGGAUGAUCAGUCACACUGGAACUGAGACACGGUCCAGACUCCUACGGGAGGCAGCAGUGGGGAAUAUUGGACAAUGGGCGAAAGCCUGAUCCAGCCAUGCCGCGUGUGUGAAGAAGGUCUUCGGAUUGUAAAGCACUUUAAGUUGGGAGGAAGGGCAGUAACCUAAUACGUUAUUGUUUUGACGUUACCGACAGAAUAAGCACCGGCUAACUCUGUGCCAGCAGCCGCGGUAAUACAGAGGGUGCAAGCGUUAAUCGGAAUUACUGGGCGUAAAGCGCGCGUAGGUGGUUUGUUAAG